rnacentral:rRNA from 1 species
UACGUAGGGGGCAAGCGUUGUCCGGAUUUAUUGGGCGUAAAGAGCGUGUAGGCGGCCAUACAGGUCAGCUGUGAAAACUCGAGGCUCAACCUCGAGACGUCGGUUGAAACCGUAUGGCUAGAGUCCGGAAGAGGAGAGUGGAAUUCCCGGUGUAGCGGUGAAAUGCGCAGAUAUCGGGAAGAACACCCGUGGCGAAGGCGGCUCUCUGGGACGGUACUGACGCUGAGGCACGAAAGCGUGGGGAGCAAGCAGGG